UGGCGGCAGGCCUAACACAUGCAAGUCGAGCGAACCCUUCGGGGUUAGCGGCGGACGGGUGAGUAACGCGUGGGAACGUGCCCUUCUCUACGGAAUAGCCCUGGGAAACUGGGAGUAAUACCGUAUACGCCCCUUGGGGGAAAGAUUUAUCGGAGAAGGAUCGGCCCGCGUUGGAUUAGGUAGUUGGUGGGGUAAUGGCCUACCAAGCCUACGAUCCAUAGCUGGUUUGAGAGGAUGAUCAGCCACACUGGGACUGAGACACGGCCCAGACUCCUACGGGAGGCAGCAGUGGGGAAUCUUAGACAAUGGGGGCAACCCUGAUCUAGCCAUGCCGCGUGAGUGAUGAAGGCCUUAGGGUUGUAAAGCUCUUUCAGCUGGGAAGAUAAUGACGGUACCAGCAGAAGAAGCCCCGGCUAACUCCGUGCCAGCAGCCGCGGUAAUACGGAGGGGGCUAGCGUUGUUCGGAAUUACUGGGCGUAAAGCGCACGUAGGCGGACCAGAAAGUUGGGGGUGAAAUCCCGGGGCUCAACCUCGGAACUGCCUUCAAAACUAUUGGUCUGGAGUUCGAGAGAGGUGAAUGGAAUUCCGAGUGUAGAGGUGAAAUUCGUAGAUAUUCGGAGGAACACCAA
rnacentral:rRNA from 1 species